rnacentral:rRNA from 1 species
UACGUAGGGUGCAAGCGUUGUCCGGAAUUAUUGGGCGUAAAGAGCUCGUAGGCGGCUUGUCACGUCGGGUGUGAAAGCCCGGGGCUUAACCCCGGGUCUGCAUUCGAUACGGGCUGGCUAGAGUGUGGUAGGGGAGAUCGGAAUUCCUGGUGUAGCGGUGAAAUGCGCAGAUAUCAGGAGGAACACCGGUGGCGAAGGCGGAUCUCUGGGCCAUUACUGACGCUGAGGAGCGAAAGCGUGGGGAGCGAACAGG